rnacentral:rRNA from 1 species
CACGUAGGGCGCAAGCGUUGUCCGGAAUUAUUGGGCGUAAAGAGCUCGUAGGCGGUCUGUUGCGUCUGCUGUGAAAACUUGGGGCUUAACCCUGAGCUUGCGGUCGAUACGGGCAUGACUGGAGUUCGGCAGGGGAGACUGGAAUUCCUGGUGUAGCGGUGAAAUGCGCAGAUAUCAGGAGGAACACCGGUGGCGAAGGCGGGUCUCUGGGCCGAAACUGACGCUGAGGAGCGAAAGCCAGGGGAGCAAACGGG